CAUGAAGAGUAUUAAAAGAGAGUUCAUCCUGAUUUUGCUGGAGUAACUGUCUCGACUGUUUGUGAAAGGCUUUCUCUUACGACUCUGGAGCUUUGUUGUGAGGAUGUGAUUAAACUCAGCAUCAUGAGUAAGCCAACCUAAAGGAAAGGAAAGGACUUGGAGGGCCCCCUGAAGACCGCUCCAACCCAGUCUCAAACCCGCAACCUUAGACACUUCAAGAACUCCAAGGCCAGAGGACUUUACUGGGAGCCGCCUAGGCCGACAGGUGUUCUGGAAAACUAAAGGAGAAGAUCUCGAGGGACUGAAAGACAACCGCUCCAACUCAGUCUAGAACCCGCGACCUUCGAUACUCUUAAGACUCCAAGGGCAGACUUAGAAGAUACUAAAGGUUUAAAGAGGUGAACAUGCAUCCAGUGCCCACCAGCUCCACAUGAUAAAAACAUUUGUUAAAUAUUGUCAUUUAUUUCUGAUUAAUGCCGCCUUUAACAGCAGCUGGUACCUUUGCAGUACCUCAAAAAUACAUAAAAAGUGUUUUGCUUGUUUCCUCAGAAUCAAAUGGAGUGUUUCAUUUUCAAGCCAGAUGUCUGACAUAUUUUCAUACAGCAGUCACCCAAAACCAAACCUCACUUUACAUAAUGCACUGAUGGAAACCUGGCAGUAUGGACAUCUCAGCAAUUUAC